AGCAGCCGCGGUAAUUCCAGCUCCAAUAGCGUAUAUUAAAGUUGUUGCAGUUAAAAAGCUCGUAGUUGAAUUUCGGGGCCAGUAGGUUGGUCGUGCCACUGGUAUGCACUGGUCUCACUGGUCCUCCUUCUUGUAGAACCGUGAUGGCAUUAAUUUGUUGUUGCGGGGAAACAGGACUGUUACUUUGAAAAAUUAGAGUGCCUAAAGCAGGCUCGCGCUUGAAUACAUUAGCAUGGAAUAACGGAAUAGGACGAUCGAACCUAUUUUGUUGGUUUCUAGGAUCGACGUAAUGAUUAAUAGGGAUAGUUGGGGGCAUUAGUAUUCAAUUGUCAGAGGUGAAAUUCUUGGAUUUAUUGAAGACUAACUACUGCGAAAGCAUUUGCCAAGGAUGUUUUCAUUAAUCAAGAACGAAAGUUAGGGGAUCGAAGACGAUCAGAUACCGUCGUAGUCUUAACCAUAAACUAUGCCGACUAGGGAUCGGAUGAAGUUAUUUUUAAUGUACUCAUUCGGCGCCUUACGG
rnacentral:rRNA from 1 species